UUGUUGAAGAAGAGGCACCCGCUUCUCACCUGGAUGACGCAAAAAGCUGUUAUCAGGUAACAGAAUCAUUAAUUACUUUGAUACUGUCAGUGUGGGUGUAUUUAUAUACCCACACUUUUUUGUUGGG
rfam:Bacillus sp. FJAT-25509 super41, whole genome shotgun sequence.